UACGUAGGGUGCAAGCGUUAAUCGGAAUUACUGGGCGUAAAGCGUGCGCAGGCGGUGAUGUAAGACAGAUGUGAACUCCCCGGGCUCAACCUGGGAACUGCAUUUGUGACUGCAUCGCUGGAGUGCGGCAGAGGGGGAUGGAAUUCCGCGUGUAGCAGUGAAAUGCGUAGAUAUGCGGAGGAACACCGAUGGCGAAGGCAAUCCUCUGGGCCUGCACUGACGCUCAUGCACGAAAGCGUGGGGAGCAAACAGG
rnacentral:rRNA from 1 species